GGAUUGUAGUCUGCAACCCGACUACAUGAAGCUGGAAUCGCUAGUAAUCGCGGAUCAGAAUGCCGCGGUGAAUACGUUCCCGGGUCUUGUACACACCGCCCGUCACACCAUGGGAGUCGGAAAUGCCCGAAGUCAGUGACCUAACCGAAAGGAAGGAGCUGCCGAAGGUGGAGCCGGUAACUGGGGUGAAGUCGUAACAAGGUAUC
rnacentral:rRNA from 1 species